ensembl:miRNA Mir5099 microRNA 5099
AGAAUUCAGUUAGAAAUUACAUUGAUUUAAGAAGUGGUAAUGGGCUUAGAUCGAUGUGGUGCUCCUGAGUUCUC